rnacentral:rRNA from 1 species
UACAGAGGGUGCAAGCGUUGUUCGGAAUUAUUGGGCGUAAAGGGCGCGUAGGCGGUGCUGUAAGUCUGUGGUGAAAUCUCUGGGCUCAACUCAGAGUCUGCCAUAGAAACUGCAGUGCUGGAGUGUGGGAGAGGUGAGUGGAAUUCCCGGUGUAGCGGUGAAAUGCGUAGAUAUCAGGAGGAACACCUGCGGUGUAGACGGCUUUCUGGACCAUUGCUGACGCUGAGACACGAAAGCGUGGGUAGCAAACAGG